rnacentral:rRNA from 1 species
GACGAACGCUGGCGGCGUGCCUAAUACAUGCAAGUCGAGCGGAUGGAUGGGAGCUUGCUCCCUGAAGGCAGCGGCGGACGGGCGAGUAACACGUGGGCAACCUGCCCCUAAGAUCGGGAUAACUUCGGGAAACCGGAGCUAAUACCGUAUAUGAUUAUGUCUCACAUGCGCCAUAAUGGACAGCCGGUUUCGGCUUGCACUUAGGUAUGGGCCCGCGGCGCAUUCGCUAGUUGGUGAGGUAACGGCUCACCAAGGCAAGGAUGCGUAGCCGACCUGAGAGGGUGAUCGGCAACACUGGGACGGAGACACGGCCCAGACUCCUACGGGAGGCAGCAGUAGGGAAUCUUCAGCAAUGGACGAAAGUCUGACGGAGCAACGCCGCGUGAGUGAAGAAGGUUUUCGGAUCGUAAAACUCUGUUGUUAGGGAAGAACAAGUACCAUAGUAACUGAUGGUACCUUGACGGUACCUAACCAGAAAGCCACGGCUAACUACGUGCCAGCCGCCGCGGUAA